GACGAACGCUGGCGGCGUGCUUAACACAUGCAAGUCGAACGGAAAGGCCCUGCUUGCAGGGUGCUCGAGUGGCGAACGGGUGAGUAACACGUGGGUGAUCUGCCCCUUACUUUGGGAUAAGCCUGGGAAACUGGGUCUAAUACUGGAUAGGACCAUGCUGUAGGUGGUGUGGUGGAAAGAUUAGUUUCGGUAAGGGAUGAGCUCGCGGCCUAUCAGCUUGUUGGUGGGGUAAUGGCCUACCAAGGCGUCGACGGGUAGCCGGCCUGAGAGGGUGGACGGCCACAUUGGGACUGCGAUACGGCCCAGACUCCUACGGGAGGCAGCAGUGGGGAAUAUUGCACAAUGGGCGCAAGCCUGAUGCAGCGACGCCGCGUGGGGGAUGACGGCCUUCGGGUUGUAAACUCCUUUCAGCCAUGGCGAAGCCCUUGUGGUGACGGUAGUGGUAGAAGAAGCACCGGCUAACUACGUG
rnacentral:rRNA from 1 species